UGACCGGCGCUGCGGGUCCCCCUGGAUCUGCUGGGCUCCGGCGCCGCACGCGCGGGGGAGGGGGCUGCCAGCCCUCGCCCCUCCUCCUGGCGCUGCAGGGAGCGAACCAGCGAUUCCCGAACUGGCACGCGGAGCUGAGCAGGGGGGCUGGAGACGCCGAGAGGAGGGGCCGGGGGCCGCGAGGGGACGAGGCGGACGGUUGAGGGGAUCUCCGGCACCUCGCAGGGAAACACACAAAGGCAGCGCCGCGCGUCUGCCGGUGCCUCUCCGGGAGGCGCGGAGCCUGGGGCGGGGGGGGCAAAGAUCAGGGACCCCUGGAGGCGGGGUUUCGCCCUCGGCCCACACCCCCUGCCUGGGUUUGGCAGGCGGCUUCCUGCGAAGGGCUGAGGGCGUCAGGCUGAGGCCCUGGAAGGAAAAGAGACUUCAGGAGCAAGGCUAGCGCCGGAGGCUGCACGCUCAGGGUAUCGCCCCUCUCUGUGAAGCCCAAGUCUGUGUCGUCAAGAGGGCUUGCUCCGUACUGGCCAUUGAGUAGUUGAAACAGCUGAGAUGUGACUUUGUGCUUAAAAGAAAACCCACAUUUACCUUAAGGAGAAAUUCAAGAAACUUCUGAUGUCCCUUAUGCCUAUAGGUCUGUUCGUGCGGAGGCCUGGAGUGAGUCUAGCUCAUCAGUGCCUCCUUGCAAUGGAGCCAGGCCAGCUGGCUGCAGCAAAGCUCCAGACAGCCUUUCACCCUUACAGAGGCGAUUAAUGGUUUUCAAGAGGGGGUGUGGGAGUGUGGCAGCAAAAUGUCAUUGUCCAAAGGGUUACUGGAAUUCAACCCUGCGCAAGUAUCCCCAAGACUAAGAAACUACAGCAAAACACUGCAAGGACUCCUUGGCCUCCAAAUUCAAGUCUAAAGCUACUGGCAAGCACACAUGUUCUAAGACAAAAAUCUCAACAACGAC